rnacentral:rRNA from 1 species
AUUGAACGCUGGCGGCAUGCCUUACACGUGCAAGUCGAACGGAGAUGAGGUGCUUGCACCUUAUCUUAGCGGCGGACGGGUGAGUAAUGCUUAGGAAUCUGCCUAUUAGUGGGGGACAACAUUCCGAAAGGAAUGCUAAUACCGCAUACGUCCUACGGGAGAAAGCAGGGGACCUUCGGGCCUUGCGCUAAUAGAUGAGCCUAAGUCGGAUUAGCUAGUUGGUGGGGUAAAGGCCUACCAAGGCGACGAUCUGUAGCGGGUCUGAGAGGAUGAUCCGCCACACUGGGACUGAGACACGGCCCAGACUCCUACGGGAGGCAGCAGUGGGGAAUAUUGGACAAUGGGCGGAAGCCUGACGGAGUGACGCCGCGUGUGGGACGAAGGCCUUCGGGUCGUAAACCACUGUCAGUGGGAAAGAUGGGUGUCGGCGCGAUAACCGCCGGCAUCUGACGGUACCUGCAGAGGAAGCCCCGGCUAACUCUGUGCCAGCAGCCGCCGUAACAC